rnacentral:misc_RNA from 1 species
UUUCCGUAGGUGAACCUGCGGAAGGAUCAUUAACGAGGUUUCAACGGCCAGUGCUGGCGAGGCAACUCGCAUGUGCACGGUCGAAAUCCUUCUAUCAAACCACUGUGCACUUUAAUUAAAACGGAUUCGAAGGGAAGCGCGUUUUGAGGAUUAACCUAGUAGUUGUGGGUCCCGUCAGGUACACGCGACGAAAGGUUAAUCCGUCGACGGACGCGUGGUACUUUUGGAUUCAUUUUAUUACAAACUACACGAAUACAAGUCAUAUUGAAUGUUCAGUCCUAAGGGACGCUAAAUCUAAUACAACUUUCAACAACGGAUCUCUUGGCUCUCGCAUCGAUGAAGAACGCAGC